CCGUGCUAGACGGGGAGGUAGCGGUGCCCUGUAACUCGCAAUCCGCUGCAGCGAGGUUGAAUUCCUGCCCGAGGUCUUGCGCUGCAAGGCUGGCGCCCGCAAGCCGUGUUGACGGCCGGGUCCUCCGCAAUGAGCCCCUGUGAACCUGGUCAGGUCCGGAAGGAAGCAGCCAUAAGCAGGUUUGUUCAUGUGCCGGGGGAGUGCCUGGCCCGAGCGGGGAUCGGGAAUGCCGCUUGGAACGCAAUGAUCGGAGGCAGGUGCACGG
rfam:Thermobacillus composti KWC4, complete genome.